AGUGAACGUUGGCGGCGUGGAUUAGGCAUGCAAGUCGUGCGGAAAGGCCCCGCAAGGGGUACUCGAGCGGCGUAAGGGAUAGUAACACGUGGGUUACCUACCCCCCGGCCCGGGAUAGCCACGGGAAACUGUGGGUAAUACCGGAUAACGUCUCCGGACUAAAGGUGUGAUUCCGUCGGAGGAGGGGCCCGCGUCCUAUUAGCUAGUUGGUGAGGUAACGGCCCACCAAGGCAAAGAUGGGUAGCGGGUGUGAGAGCAUGACCCGCAUCACUGGGACUGAGACACUGCCCAGACACCUACGGGUGGCUGCAGUCGAGAAUCUUCGGCAAUGGGCGCAAGCCUGACCGAGCGACGCCGCGUGCGGGAUGAAGGCCCUCGGGUUGUAAACCGCUGUCAGGGGGGAGGAAAUUCCAUGGGGUUCACCCCGUGGUUUGACCUAUCCUCAGAGGAAGUACGGGCUAAGUUCGUGCCAGCAGCCGCGGUAACAC
rnacentral:rRNA from 1 species